rnacentral:rRNA from 1 species
GCAUAUCAAUAAGCGGAGGAAAAGAAACUAACAAGGAUUCCCCUAGUAACUGCGAGUGAAGCGGGAAAAGCUCAAAUUUAAAAUCUGGCAGUCUUUGGCUGUCCGAGUUGUAGUCUGGAGAAGUGUUUUCCGCGCUGGACCGUGUACAAGUCUCUUGGAAUAGAGCGUCAUAGAGGGUGAGAAUCCCGUCUUUGACACGGACCGCCAGUGCUUUGUGAUGCGCUCUCAAAGAGUCGAGUUGUUUGGGAAUGCAGCUCAAAAUGGGUGGUAAAUUCCAUCUAAAGCUAAAUAUUGGCGAGAGACCGAUAGCGAACAAGUACCGUGAGGGAAAGAUGAAAAGCACUUUGGAAAGAGAGUUAAACAGUACGUGAAAUUGCUGAAAGGGAAACGCUUGAAGUCAGUCGCGUUGUCCAGAACUCAGCCUGGCUUUUGCUUGGUGCAUUUUCUGGAUAACGGGCCAGCAUCAAUUUUGAUCGUUGGAUAAAGGUCUUGGGAAUGUGGCACCUUCGGGUGUGUUAUAGCCCUUGAUUGCAUACAACGAUUGGGAUUGAGGAUCUCAGCAUGCCUUUAUGGUCGGGGUUCGCCCACGUUCAUGCUUAGGAUGCUGGCGUAAUGGCUUUAAUCGACCCGUCUUGAAACACGGACCAAGGAGUCUAACAUGCCUGCGAGUAUUUGGGUGGUAAACCCGAGUGCGCAAUGAAAGUGAAAGUUGGGAUCUCUGUCGCGGAGAGCACCGACGCCCGGACCAGACCUUUUGUGACGGUUCCGCGGUGGAGCAUGUAUGUUGGGACCCGAAAGAUGGUGAACUAUGCCUGAAUAGGGUGAAGCCAGAGGAAACUCUGGUGGAGGCUCGUAGCGAUUCUGACGUGCAAAUCGAUCGUCAAAUUUGGGUAUAGGGGCGAAAGACUAAUCGAACCAUCUAGUAGCUGGUCCUGCG